GAGAAGAAACCAACAGGGAUUGCCUCAGUAACGGCGAGUGAAGCGGCAGAAGCUCAAAUUUGAAAUCUGACGUCCCCGACGUCCGAGUUGUAAUUUGGAGAGGCAUCUUCUGGAGGGGCCCAGCCUAUGUUCCUUGGAACAGGACGUCAUAGAGGGUGAGAAUCCCGUUCUUGGCUGGAUGUCCCCACCUGUAUGUAGUGUCUUCUACGAGUCGAGUUGUUUGGGAAUGCAGCUCAAAAUGGGUGGUAAAUUUCAUCUAAAGCUAAAUAUUGGCGAGAGACCGAUAGCGCACAAGUAGAGUGAUCGAAAGAUGAAAAGCACUUUGAAAAUAGAGUCAAACAGUACGUGAAAUUGUUGAAAGGGAAGCGCUUGAGACCAGACUCAGCCUCGGGCAAGCAACCCUCCUUCUGGUGGGUGUCCUCCUUCGGGUGGGUGCACUUGCCCUUGGCUGGGCCAGCAUCAGUUGGGAGGGCGGGAUAAAGGCCCAGGGAAUGUGGCUCCUCUCGGGGAGUGUUAUAGCCCUGGGUGCCAUGCCGCCGCUCCCGACUGAGGACCGCGCUUCGGCAAGGAUGCUGGCGUAAUGGUCUUCAGCGACCCGUCUUGAAACACGGACCAAGGAGUCUAACAUCUAUGCGAGUGUUUGGGCUUCAAACCCUUACGCGUAAUGAAAGUGAACGGAGGUGGGAACCCCGAGAGGGGCGCACCAUCGACCGAUCCUGAUGUCUUCGGAUGGAUUUGAGUAGGAGCAUAGCUGUUGGGACCCGAAAGAUGGUGAACUAUGCCUGAAUAGGGUGAAGCCAGAGGAAACUCUGGUGGAGGCUCGCAGCGGUUCUGACGUGCAAAUCGAUCGUCAAAUUUGGGUAUAGGGGCGAAAGACUAAUCGAACCAUCUAGUAGCUGGUUCCUGCCGAGUCCCC
rnacentral:rRNA from 1 species